AGUGGGAUAACUGGGUCAAAUGGUGGAUCUAAUCCAUGUUUUCUGAGUAAUCUCCAUACUGCUUUCCAUAGUGGUUGCACCAAUUUGCAGUCCCACCAACAAU
rnacentral:pre_miRNA from 1 species